rnacentral:rRNA from 1 species
GACGAACGCUGGCGGCGUGCUUAACACAUGCAAGUCGAGCGAGCGGCGAACGGGUGAGUAACGCGUGAGGAACCUGCCUUUCACAGGGGAAUAACACUGGGAAACCAGUGCUAAUACCGCAUAUUGAAAGAUGGCCUCGCGCCUGAUUAGCUAGUAGGUGAGGUAACGGCUCACCUAGGUGAUGAUCAGUAGCCGGACUGAAGGUUGAUCGGCCGAAUUGGGAACGGUGAACCGCCCCAAAUCCUAAGGGAUGGAUGAGGUGGGAAGAUUGGGGCAAUGCGCAAGGCUGAACCAGCAAACCCCGGUGAAGGAAGACGGGCUUUGGAUUGUAAACCUCCUUAGACAGGGACGCGGUACCUGUAGAAUAAGCCACGGCUAACUACGUGCCAGCAGCCGCGGUAAUUC